rnacentral:rRNA from 1 species
UACGUAGGGUGCAAGCGUUGUCCGGAAUCAUUGGGCGUAAAGCGCGCGUAGGUGGUCAUGUAAGUCCGCUGUGAAAGUCAAAGGCUCAACCUUUGAAAGCCGGUGGAUACUGCAUGACUAGAGUACGGAAGAGGCGAGUGGAAUUCCUGGUGUAGCGGUGGAAUGCGCAGAUAUCAGGAGGAACACCGGUGGCGAAGGCGGAUCUCUGGGCCUUACCUGACGCUGAGGCGCGAAAGCUAGGGGAGCAAACAGG